rnacentral:misc_RNA from 1 species
AGCAGCCGCGGUAAUUCCAGCUCCAAUAGCGUAUAUUAAAGUUGCUGCAGUUAAAAGCUCGUAGUUGAAUUUCGGGACUAAUAUGUCGGUCGUGCCUCGGUACGUACUGGUUUAUUGGUUUCUCCUUUCUGAAGAACCAUGAUGUCAUUUAUUUGGUGUCGUGGGGAAUCAGGACUGUUACUUUGAAAAAUUAGAGUGUUUAAAGCAGGCUCACGCUUGGAUACAUUAGCAUGGAAUAAUGAAAUAGGACGUUUGAUUCUAUUUUGUUGGUUUCUAGGAUCGACGUAAUGAUUAAUAGGGAUAGUUGGGGGCAUUAGUAUUCAAUUGUCAGAGGUGAAAUUCUUGGAUUUAUUGAAGACUAACUACUGCGAAAGCAUUUGCCAAGGAUGUUUUCAUUAAUCAAGAACGAAAGUUAGGGAUCGAAGACGAUCAGAUACCGUCGUAGUCUUAACCAUAAACUAUGCCGACUAGGGAUCGGAUGAUGUUAAUUUUUAAUGUACUCAUUCGGCGCCUUACGGGA